rnacentral:lncRNA from 1 species
AGCCUUCCAAAAUACAGUACUGGUAUUUUCAUUGAAGUCAGAAAACACCUCAUUAAUUUGCACAAUACCACUGUUUCUUUUAUCCGAGUGCAUGUGAGUCAAUUAGGUUUUUAAUAUUACAAAUGUUCGUGGGUUCCCCACCCCCACAGUUUCACCUUAUUGUAAGCUGCUUUCAGUCUGUCUUUUGGUAGAAAUCAAAUGAAUGAGAUAUAUAUAAUAAUAAUUGUGCCUAGGCAAAAGAAGAAGAAGAUGACGCCGAAGACGAAGACAAAGAAGAAGAAAAAGAAGACGAUGACACUUCAUAGCCAUGAUACCAAAACAGCAUGUUUUCGCUCAGUGUUUGUGUCAGAGCUUUCUGGUACAGAGGAUGGAGUAGCAGCUACCAAUAGAAGUGACUUCACAAAGCAGACCAUAGUCAGCUGCUGUUUAGGCCCAACUCUAGUAUUCAACAGAGCUCAUGAUCCCUUGCAAGGUAAAGAACACAGGAAAUUAAAAAGCACUAUACCCAGUUUAUUGAUCUCUAUCAGAGCUAGAGAUGCAUUGCCCUAGGAAGUCAUCUUUGUGCUGGCAUGCCUUGCUCCAAUUCUGAGCAGAACCCAGCCUAAAUCAGUUUGCAAAAUGCCAUGUCUAUUUUUUUAAAAAAAUCUUUCUUUCUUGUGCCUUUUAUCUUUUGGCCUACUGUUCCCAAAAGACAAUUUGGAAAGGGGGGUGGGGGAAGAAGGGAGUCCAGUUCUAGGGAUUACUUGCAGACUAUUUUUUAAAAUAUUUUUUUGCUUGGCCUGAAAAAAAAAUUUGGCUGCCAGAUGGGGUCUUCUCAGUGGCUGCUCCUUGAUUGUGGAACUCCUUUUCAAGAGAAACAAGGCUGCCACUCUCUCAACCACGGACUAAUGCUAUAUUUUUAAACUGCUGUAUGUCUAAAUGGCUUUUCUACAUUAACUGUAUUUUAACAAUAUACUUCUUUGUGUUUUUAUCUGUACCUGUCACCCACCUUGAGCACAACCUCUACGAGAAAGUAUAAACCGAAUAAAACGAUCAGUGAAUUAAUUUAUUUUAUUUAA